CAGUCGCCGCGGGAAUACGUAGGGUGCAAGCGUUAAUCGGAAUUACUGGGCGUAAAGCGUGCGCAGGCGGUUAUAUAAGACAGAUGUGAAAUCCCCGGGCUCAACCUGGGAACUGCAUUUGUGACUGUAUAGCUAGAGUACGGCAGAGGGGGAUGGAAUUCCGCAUGUAGCAGUGAAAUGCGUAGAUAUGCGGAGGAACACCGAUGGCGAAGGCAAUCCCCUGGGCCUGUACUGACGCUCAUGCACGAAAGCGUGGGGAGCAAACAGGAUUAGAUACCCCCGUAGUCCCUGUCUCUUAUAC
rnacentral:rRNA from 1 species